rnacentral:lncRNA from 1 species
CCAGACCUUACUGUACAGUAUGGCAUCUUUCUUGAAUAUUUUUAUUACUUGUUUAAAAUCAGAUAAAAUAUUUCAAUCAAAAAUCAUCAAUUGGAAAAAUCACCAGGAAAUGGAAAGGAUUGGCAGCAGAAGCUGUAACAGAUGCCAGCAGUUUCUUAAUCCAAUUCCCAAUGGAUCUUGAGGUUAAAACGAAAACCCUUUUGCUUGGAGCUUGCUUCCUACUGAUAAGACGAAAUAAAAGAAGAUGGAAAUGUCAAAUGAAACUAAGCCCACAUCAGCACCUCCAGAAUAUUCGGGUCCAGCUUAUUCACUUCCACAAGUCCAAUAUCCUCAGUAUGGACAUGCAGUUCCAGGUAAUCAUAAUCUUUAUCAUAGUUACUUAUCAGAAUUUGGUGAGUUAGCACAAAUAAAGUAACGGAACAGUUUCUAUUUCAAAUAAGUAAAAAAAACACCAUAAUAUUGUAAGUCAUUAAAAGAAUCCGGGUAUUGUACUAUUGUAUAUUAUUUGUCCUACACUAUGUAAAUUUACAGAAUGUAAUCAUAUUUCAAAGAAACAAAAUUGUAGCGAUCUGAGCUAUUCUAGGAAGGACACCAAGCUUGUAUAGGAGCCCUGUUGAUGCAGUAUUGCAAGCUGACUCUACCCACAGCCAAGAGUUGGAUCCUGAUCAACUCAAGGUUGACUUAGCCUUCCAUCAUUCUGGCAUUGGUAAAAUGAAGACCCAGAUUGGUGGGGCAAUAUGCUGACCCUGUAAACCACUGAGAGAGGGCUAUAAAGCAUGAAGCGGU